rnacentral:snRNA from 1 species
AGGAAUGGGUAAUGAUCAUUG